UUUAUUUAGCAUAUUUGGCGUUUUAGAAUUUUUAGAGUAUAUUUUCGGCUUUUAUGCGAUUUCAGAGCACAUACAGAACACACAGUAGUAAAGCUCUAGAGCCCUGUGCCCAUAUUCGGACAAAAACCUAAUUACGAUUUACGAACCACCGUUUAGUAUUCGCUUAUCAGUUCCAAGUUUCUGACAGUCUGUGUGACUGCAAUGCCGGCCCCAGGGGAGGGGGCAAGCGGU